UCCUACGGGAGGCAGCAGUGGGGAAUAUUGCACAAUGGGCGCAAGCCUGAUGCAGCCAUGCCGCGUGUAUGAAGAAGGCCUUCGGGUUGUAAAGUACUUUCAGCAGUGAGGAGGGGGUGGUGUUUAAUAGACACCAUUUUUGACGUUAGCUGCAGAAGAAGCACCUGCUAACUCCGUGCCAGCAGCCGCGGUAAUA
rnacentral:rRNA from 1 species